UACAGAGGUCUCAAGCGUUGUUCGGAUUCAUUGGGCGUAAAGGGUGCGUAGGCGGCGCGGCAAGUCGGGUGUGAAAUCUUGGAGCUUAACUCCGAAACUGCAUUCGAUACUGCCGUGCUUGAGGACUGGAGAGGAGACUGGAAUUUACGGUGUAGCGGUGAAAUGCGUAGAUAUCGUGAGGAAGACCAGUGGCGAAGGCGGGUCUCUGGACAGUUCCUGACGCUGAGGCACGAAGGUCAGGGGAGCGAACAGG
rnacentral:rRNA from 1 species